rnacentral:rRNA from 1 species
UUCCCUACGGGAGGCUGCAGUGGGGAAUUUUGGACAAUGGGCGAAAGCCUGAUCCAGCCAUGCCGCGUGAGUGAAGAAGGCCUUCGGGUUGUAAAGCUCUUUCGGCUGGGAAGAAAUCGCACUCUCUAAUACAGGGUGUGGAUGACGGUACCAGCAUAAGAAGCACCGGCUAACUACGUGCCAGCAGCCGCGGUAAUACGUAGGGUGCGAGCGUUAUUCGGAAUUACUGGGCGUAAAGCGUGCGCAGGCGGUUGUGUAAGACAGACGUGAAAUCCCCGGGCUCAACCUGGGAACUGCGUUUGUGACUGCACGGCUAGAGUACGGCAGAGGGGGGUGGAAUUCCACGUGUAGCAGUGAAAUGCGUAGAGAUGUGGAGGAACACCGAUGGCGAAGGCAGCCCCCUGGGCCAGUACUGACGCUCAUGCACGAAAGCGUGGGGAGCAAACAGGAUUAGAUACCCGAGUAGUC